GAUGAACGCUGGCGGUCUGCUUAACACAUGCAAGUCGAACGGAAUCCUUCGGGAUUUAGUGGCGGACGGGUGAGUAACGCGUGAGAAUCUGCCUUCAGGUUCGGGACAACAGCUGGAAACGGCUGCUAAUACCGGAUGUGCCGAGAGGUGAAAGCUUUAGUGCCUGAAGAUGAGCUCGCGUCUGAUUAGCUAGUAGGAGUGGUAAUGGCACCCCUAGGCGACGAUCAGUAGCUGGUCUGAGAGGAUGAUCAGCCACACUGGGACUGAGACACGGCCCAGACUCCUACGGGAGGCAGCAGUAGAGAAUUUUCCGCAAUGGGCGCAAGCCUGACGGAGCAAGACCGCGUGAGGGAAGAAGGUCUGUGGAUUGUAAACCUCUUUUGAUGGGGAAGAAGACAGUGACGGUACCCAUCGAAUCAGCCUCGGCUAACUCCGUGCCAGCCGCCGCGGUAA
rnacentral:rRNA from 1 species